UUCUAUCCGAGCUCCUCUCUUCCCAAGCUGCUAAGCUCCUCAUUUAGGGUUUGAUGAUAUCUUUUAUUCAUGUGAAAAUAUCCGGAAAAGUAAUUAUCGGUGGACGUGCAUAUAGUCCAAAUUCAUGUUCUUCUGGUCAAAUGGUUGAACAUCUCUAGUGGGAGCCCCUCAGGUAUCUCUUCUGUGACAUAUUGCUUACAACAAACUCAAUAUAUGCUACAACUUUUAGCGGGGAACCUGCAAGUUUCUUUCAAAUUUCUUAACUUUAUUGGAUAAUAUUGCAACAAUUUUGCAGCCUCUAUAAAUCA